GAUUUCUUCUCAACCUCUUCCAUUACUUCAGUGAUUACAUUUUUUCUUUUUAAUUAGUUCAACGAUUUUAAUUGCUUCAAUUUGCUAUCAUUGGAGAGUUUGUAGGUAAGCGUGAGUUUAACUUUUGUAGGUAAGCGUGAGUUCAAUUUGCUGCUAGAGUAUUCUACGCGUGAAAUUGAUAGUCAAUAACAUUUCUUCAGCGAUUUCAAUUUUUGUAGGUAAGCGUCAGUUGGAAUCACCUGAUUAUCUCUGUAGUUUCUUGAAUUUCUUCAAUUUCUUGAAUUUUAGGUACUACAAAAUCAUAGAAGGAGAUCAUAUGUUUUUCAUUGUGAUUCGAGAAAGAGAUGGAGUUCGAUUUGAGUUGAUAUACGACAGCAUCUUUGAACGUUCGUAGGAAGCAUGUGUAAUAUCUAUGUAAGCUACUUUUAGAUGAUUCAAGCCUUUAUGGUUUUGGUAUUUUGUAAAAUGGAUCUAUGGAUAUCAUUUGAUAAUGUAAUAAAACUCCUUAAUUUUACUUGAGACAA